GGCCUGGGGCACCAUACCGUGUCAUCGAGUUCCCUGCCUCGGAGAUAAAGAUUCCAGCUACAUGGGUAAACGCCUGGAUCAGCCACAAAUGUACCCCCAGUACACUUACUACUAUCCUCACUGUCUCUAAACCAAGUCACACAGAGAGAAAGAGAGGCACAGGCAGAGGGAGAAGCAGGCUCCAUGCACCGGGAGCCCGACGUGGGACUCGAUCCCCAGUCUCCAGGAUCGCAACCUGGGCCAAAGGCAGGCGCCAAACCGCUGCGCCACCCAGGGAUCUCCACAAACAGAAAAUUCUUUAGAACUCUGGAGAGGCAAUCAUUCAUCAUAUAGGUAAAAAUAAUGGCAUUGCUUCUGCCUUCCUGGAGCUUAUGGGCUGGGAAAGACAUAGAAGGUCUUUACUUCUCAGAGAUACUGUUUCUCUUUAGUUCAUGUCAAUAAAUCUCCCUGAAUCAUUUCAAUGAA